CUCACUGUCAAUCAAACAACACCACGUUUUCGCGACGGCGCGGAAACGCUUGAGCGAUUUCACCGGCAGGCGGCGGAGGAUGUCCUCGAUGAGCUCGAACGGAAGAUUCGGCAUUCCUAUCACUCUGAGGAUUCGAAAAAGAUAAAGUGAAGGAUUCGAAAAAGAUAAAGAGAAAAAAAAGAAGAAACAGUUGGGGUGGUUGGUGAUAAAAAGACUUGUCGGAGAUGGAAAAGGUAAUAAUAAAUGGAGUUGGAAACCGGCGGCGGAGAGGCGGUGGUAAGGUAAUCCGUUGUGGCGUCUCAUCUGAGACCUGUCUAUCGUCUUAUUUUCUUUAUCUUUUAUUAUUGCAGGAAUUUAUCUUCUUUUUCACUUUUUCACUUUUUUUAAUUACUUUAUGAGUCCAAGUUGUUAGACUCAUAAUUGAUUCUAUUAGGUCAUCCGCAACGCUGUUACUCAUCCGUCCCUUAACCGUUCCUUAAAUUACUA